UAAUCAAUUUUAGUAGAACUUAUGUUAGUUACCAGGUUUCUUCUGGUUGUACUGUUUUAUCUCAUUGAACUUCAGUGGAGAAACGUUUGAUCUUGGGGUUACAACCUUUCACCAGCGAGUUAAUUGAUUUUUUUGUGGAACAUUUCCAGCAGAUCAUGACAACAAAAGUGGUUAUGUUAAACUUUUUGUUGGAACAGUUCCGAGAAUAGCAAGUGAAGAUGAUGUUCGACAUUUAUUUGAGGAACAUGGAGAUGUUCUUGAAGUCGCUUUGAUCAGGGAUAAGAAAACUGGUGAACAACAAGAGUGUUGCUUUGUUAAAUAUGCGACUUCUGAAGAGGCUAAGAGAGCCAUAAGAGCUCUUCAUAACCAGUACACUAUACCUGGGGCGAUGGGUCCUGUUAAGGUUAGAUAUGCCAAUUGUGAAAAGGAGCGC